UACGGAGGGUGCAAGCGUUGCUCGGAAUCAUUGGGCGUAAAGCGCGUGUAGGCGGUUGUCUAAGUCUGAUGUGAAAUCCCGGGGCUCAACCCCGGAACUGCAUCGGAUACUGGACAGCUAGAGGAUGAGAGAGGAUGGUGGAAUUCCAGGUGUAGGGGUGAAAUCCGUAGAUAUCUGGAGGAACAUCGGUGGCGAAGGCGGCCAUCUGGCUCAUUUCUGACGCUGAGACGCGAAAGCGUGGGGAGCAAAC
rnacentral:rRNA from 1 species